GGGGUUGUAGCUCAGUGGUAGAGUGCUUGCCUCUCAUGCAUGAGACCCUGGGUUUGAUCCCCAGCACCA
rnacentral:tRNA from 1 species